UCUGCCCGCUCGCUACAGGCUUAACACAUGCAAGUCGCGGGGCAGCAUGGGGGUUGCUUGCAAUCCCCGAUGGCGACCGGCGCACGGGUGAGUAACGCGUAUCCAACCUGCCCUUCACCACGGGAUAACCCGGCGAAAGUCGGACUAAUACCGUAUGUUGUCCAUUGACGGCAUCCGAUUUGGACGAAAGGUUUGGCGGUGAAGGAUGGGGAUGCGUCCGAUUAGCUGGACGGCGGGGUGACGGCCCACCGUGGCGACGAUCGGUAGGGGUUCUGAGAGGAAGGUCCCCCACACUGGAACUGAGACACGGUCCAGACUCCUACGGGAGGCAGCAGUGAGGAAUAUUGGUCAAUGGGCGUAAGCCUGAACCAGCCAAGUAGCGUGCAGGAUGACGGCCCUAUGGGUUGUAAACUGCUUUUAUGCGGGGAUAAAGUGGCCCACGUGUGGGUUUUUGCAGGUACCGCAUGAAUAAGGACCGGCUAAUUCCGUG
rnacentral:rRNA from 1 species